UGCAUGAUAAUGACGAGUACCUGGUAAAGAAGCCCCGGCUAACUCCGUGCCAGCAGCCGCGGUAAUACGGAGGGUGUUAGCGUUGUUCGGAAUUACUGGGCGUAAAGCGCACGUAGGCGGRUUGKUAAGUUAGAUGUGAAAUCCCAGGGCUCAACCCUGGAACKGCMUYUAAUACUSCCAGUCUAGAGUUCGAGAGAGGUGAGUGGAAUUCCGAGUGUAGAGGUGAAAUUCGUAGAUAUUCGGAGGAACACCAGUGGCGAAGGCGGCUCACUGGCUCGAUACUGACGCUGAGGURCGAAAGUGUGGGGAGCAAACAGGAUUAGAUACCUGGUAGUCCACACCGUAAACGAUGAAUGCUAGUCGUYGGGUAGCAURCUHGUCRGUGACAGCAMUAACGGAWUAAGUAGUCCGC
rnacentral:rRNA from 1 species